rnacentral:rRNA from 1 species
AUUUAACGCUGGCGGCAUUCUUUACACAUGCAAGUCGAACGUUAACAGGGUGCUUGCACCGCUGACGAGUGGCGCACGGGUGCGUAACGCGUAUGCAAUCUACCUUUUGCAGAGGGAUAGCCCCGAGAAAUUUGGAUUAAUACCUUUAAGUAUGUGAGCAUGGCAUCAUUUUCACAUUAAAGUCACAACGGCAAAAGAUGAGCAUGCGUCCCAUUAGCAUGUUGGUAAGGUAAGGGCUUACCAAGGCAACGAUGGGUAGGGGCCCUGAGAGGGAGAUCCCCCAAACUGGUACUGAGACACGGACAAGACUCCUACGGGAGGUAGCAGUGAGGAAUAUUGGAAAAUGGGCGCAAGCCUGAUCCAGCCAUGCCGCGUGCAGGAUGACGGUCCUAUGGAUUGUAAACUGCUUUUGUACAGGAAGAAACACUGGUUCGUGAACCAGCUUGACGGGACUGUAAGAAUAAGGAUCGGCUAGCUCCGUGCCAGCAGCCGCAGUAAAAC